rnacentral:rRNA from 1 species
GAUCGCGGCGAAGUAGGCGGUUCGCUGCCGACGACGUCGCGAGAAGUCCACUGAACCUUAUCAUUUAGAGGAAGGAGAAGUCGUAACAAGGUUUCCGUAGGUGAACCUGCGGAAGGAUCAUUGCCGGU